GCUGGCGGCAGGCUUAACACAUGCAAGUCGAGCGGGCGUAGCAAUACGUCAGCGGCAGACGGGUGAGUAACGCGUGGGAACGUACCUUUUGGUUCGGAACAACACAGGGAAACUUGUGCUAAUACCGGAUAAGCCCUUACGGGGAAAGAUUUAUCGCCGAAAGAUCGGCCCGCGUCUGAUUAGCUAGUUGGUGAGGUAACGGCUCACCAAGGCGACGAUCAGUAGCUGGUCUGAGAGGAUGAUCAGCCACAUUGGGACUGAGACACGGCCCAAACUCCUACGGGAGGCAGCAGUGGGGAAUAUUGGACAAUGGGCGCAAGCCUGAUCCAGCCAUGCCGCGUGAGUGAUGAAGGCCCUAGGGUUGUAAAGCUCUUUUGUGCGGGAAGAUAAUGACGGUACCGCAAGAAUAAGCCCCGGCUAACUUCGUGCCAGCAGCCGCGGUAAUACGAAGGGGGCUAGCGUUGCUCGGAAUCACUGGGCGUAAAGGGUGCGUAGGCGGGUCUUUAAGUCAGGGGUGAAAUCCUGGAGCUCAACUCCAGAACUGCCUUUGAUACUGAGGAUCUUGAGUUCGGGAGAGGUGA
rnacentral:rRNA from 1 species